ensembl:lncRNA
UCACAGUGAGGUUUAAUUUGGGUUUCGAUUUGCAUGUGUGUAAGGAACAACUGAAAUAUCUUGUAUUUUCAACUGUAUAGUUAAUAGUCCCUCUGCUAAGGAUAAAGCACACUCCAUUAUAAUUUAAAGCUAUCUUUAUUCUAAUUGUUUACAGUAUUCUUUUCGUAGAGGUAAAUUUGUAUUCCAGUAAUCAUCAUCAUCAUUAUAUCAUAAGCCUCUGACAUGCAAUAUUGCUAAUCUGCUGUAUCCCUUAGUUUGCCACAGUUCAUUGGCACUAUUAUUGAUAUUGAUGGCUUUAUUUUUUCCAGACAUUAAGCGAGCAAUUCAUCAAGAGAACAACAAAGACUGGAAUAGAAAGAUAAAACAUCCAGCAUUAUCAGGCCCAUGCCAAAAAAAAACCCAAACAAAACAGCAAAACUCAAAAAAACCAAGAAACCCAAACCCAAGGAAGCCAACCCUAACUCUGAAGAUAUUUAUUUCAUUUGAACCUAAAAACAUUACUUUUGCUAGCUGUGUGCCUGACUUGAGACUCUUCAGCUUGGAUCACUUCAGAAGGCCUAAUUCUCCUUGGAGAAAAAAAGUCACUCCUGAGACAAGAUCACUCAAGACUCACAAUUUAUUCUUAGGAAAAGAAGCGGCAUCAGCACCUGUGGUUCAUUGACCAAAGAAUGAGAAGAACUGUACUUAUCCCUCAGGAGGACAUAUUGCAUUUUUUUCUUGAUUGCUGGAAAAGCAAUUUUCCUGAAAGCAAUUUAAUACCAUGCAAUUGUUCCUACUCACUGCUCACUCUUUAUCUGUUCUGCUGUUAAUUAGAAGAUCACAUUUUUUAAAAGAUAUCAUAUCACUUGCAGUUACAGUUAUGAACUUCACCCAGGGAGUGUCGUUUCCCAUGCUGAUGUCAAACCAGGCAUGAACAGAUAAGCUAACGUCAUUUGCUAUGCUCAUAAGAGCAGAAAAGAAAUUAAUUUCUGUUGGUGUAGUAAGCUCCUCAUUUAAGUGCCACAACCUUCAGUUUGGGGAUCCUAAAUGAAAUACUUUAGGAUAUAGGUCAAAAGAGGAGAGUGAGUAUUUGCAACAGGAGAGUUGUCAUUCAGGACAGCAGCACAGCACAGAACUCUGACAUUGAACUGUUCUUCUUUUAAAAUAGGCUUCACACACUGUAAGGAACCAGCCUGAAUGUAGAGUGUUUCCACAGUCUCUCAUGAUUUUCUAAUUGGUAAUUAAUGAUGGAUUGUUACCUGCACAUAAUGAAGUUAUUUUCCACAGGGUUAUAGUGUGAACAGACAUCUGGUAAUGUGCAUAAGUGAAAGAGAAUCAUAAAAAUUAGAGUGUUAGGUUAUAGGACUCUUUGAGGUAAACAAAUUCCAUUUCCUAGAGAUAGCCUUGUUUGAAUUAAAUUUUGAACUAUCAACAAAAAUCACUCCAUUGGAAACAAGCAUUCUGGGACAUGGCUCUUGUUUACACUGUGUGUAAGCAAUGCAAAUUGUCUUUAAAGGAAUGAAUAUUCUAUUUGCAUCCACUUUACAUCAGCUUUCUACUGCCAGAUUGGUAUAAAGGGGCCUUUGGAAAUCCUUGAAGAAAUUUCUGCAAAUCUUAAGGGAAAAUACACUGUGUUCACAUUGGUUUUCAUAAGAUAGGAAGCCAAACUUAACAGGCAUUAUCUUUCAUAACUUCUUCCUCAAGGUAAAAUAUAGGAAGUACAACAGAAACAAAUAUCAAGUCAAAAUAAAUUUGGAACCAAAGUGUCA